rnacentral:lncRNA from 1 species
AUUUCUGUCAUUUCCUUUAGAUAUGUAUCUGUUAUGUUUCAAGAUUUCACUACUUGUUUGAUAUCAUCUUGUUGGAUUCACUUGUUUUAUAUGCAUUUCUAUGUGCAGUCCAUGAAUAACAUUCUAAAAUAUGAUGUAACAGUUGCCUUUUUGUAUUUAUAGGGGUCAUUGAACCAUGCAAGUACGAUUAAUUUAUUGGAAGCAGGUUUUUCUGUAUACGGAUGUUAUAUAUUGAUGCUGGAUGUAUUGUAUUUUGUCUAGGAAAUGGAUGGUGUCUGCUUUUUUUAUUUGACUUAAGAGUUAGGCUGUUUUCAUUAGCGAAUGUGCUUUGUAAGUCUAAUGUUUUAUUCUGCUUUAUCCAUAUAGAUCAGGGGUCGGCAACCUUUCUGGAGUUAAGAGCCAUUUUUUUUCCCCGAUGUGAUAAAUUAUUUUUUUAAAGAGC